GAGACAGCAGUCGCCGCGGUAAUACGGAGGGGGCUAGCGUUGUUCGGAAUUACUGGGCGUAAAGCGCACGUAGGCGGCUUGGUAAGUUAGAGGUGAAAGCCCGGAGCUCAACUCCGGAAUUGCCUUUAAGACUGCCGAGCUAGUAGGUGAGAGAGGUAAGUGGAAUUCCGAGUGUAGAGGUGAAAUUCGUAGAUAUUCGGAAGAACACCAGUGGCGAAGGCGACUGACUGGACAAGUAUUGACGCUGAGGUGCGAAAGCGUGGGGAGCAAACAGGAUUAGAUACCCCCGUAGUCCCUGUCUCUUAUAC
rnacentral:rRNA from 1 species